AUUGAACGCUAGCGGGAUGCCUACCACAUGCAAGUCGACCGGAUUGCCGAACGGGUGAGUAAUGAUUCGGAACGUGCCCAGUGGCGGGGGAUAACUACGCGAAAGCGUAGCUAAUCCCGCAUCCUUUGGGACCGGCCGAUACCGGAUUAGCUAGUUGGUGGGGUAACGGCUCACCAAGGCGACGAUCCGUAGCUGGUUGGAGAGGACGACCAGCCACACUGGGACUGAGACACGGCCCAGACUCCUACGGGAGGCAGCAGUGGGGAAUUUUGGACAAGGGGGGAAACCCUGAUCCAGCCAUCCCGCGUGUGCGAUGAAGGCCUGCGGGUUGUAAAGCACUUUUGGCAGGAAAGCGGUACCUGCAGAAUAAGCACCGGCUAACUACGUGCCAGCAGCCGCGGUAAUUC
rnacentral:rRNA from 1 species